rnacentral:lncRNA from 1 species
AAAAGGGAGCAAGCAGUCUCAUGAUACAUUCCUCCCAUUUCUAAAAACCCAUGAAACAUGAGUCAAACUUGUCAUCUAUAGAUUCCCAACUCAUGUAUCAUUGUCCCAGAAAGAAUUUAUAAGGAUUGGAAGCAAGGAAAAUUUUUAGAAGCAAAAAGGAAGAGAAAGAAAAAAAUUCUGAACUUGGGUCGACCCAACCCAGAAUAG